UAUCAAGGAGAUCGAUGUCAUUUUCUUAAACUAGUGGGGUGCUGUCUGUAAUUUGUGUAAUAGUAAGAAAAAAUUAUUAAUUAAUUCUGAAGGACCAUAACAAAAUCAAUCCAAAUCACCAUAAUCCUAAUUAUUUAAUAUAAAAUUAUAAAUCUAAUUUUUUUCACCAAUCAUAAUUAUACAUGUAAAAGUGUCACAUAAUACUUCGCCUGAAGCAACCAAUAAAUUCUUAAUCAGUGUAAUUUUCCCUAUGCUAAGAAAACAUUCACACACUCACAGUCCUAGUCAUCUUCCUCUCUCAAAACCCUAAACCUAACAAUUCAAAACUCCAAAUAUGGCAGCAAACCCAAAGAAAAGCUUCAUCCCCCUCUUCCUCAUUCUCUCUCUCUCCUCUCUAUUCCUCUUCUCUCUCUACAACUUCUCACUACCUCAAUUUCAGUCUUCCCAAACCUCCUUCAACCAAAACCAGUGUACCACUCCCACUUCACCUAAUCACACCAAUGCCAAUUUCGUUCUCACCAUCAAAGUCCUCGCCUUCGAUCGCAUCGCCUCUCUCUCUCGCUGCCUCCGAUCUCUCUCCAAUGCCCAUUACCACAAUGACAGGGUCAAUCUUCACAUCUUCAUUGACCACUUCAAAAUCACGGACGAUUCAACUGAUAAUUUUGAUGGAAAACUGAGUGAAUCGCGUCGAAUUCUGGAUUUUGUUGAUGGUUUUGUUUGGGAAUUCGGUGAAAAAUUGGUGCUUUACCGGACUGGAAAUGUAGGGUUGCAAGCGCAGUGGUUGGAGUCGUGGUGGCCGAGUUCGGAUGACGAGUUUGCCUUUGUUGUGGAAGAUGAUUUGGAAGUUUCACCUCUGUAUUACGGAUUUCUGAAGGGUUUGAUUGUUAAUUAUUACUAUAAUGCUUCCAAUUUUAGUCCUUCAAUCUAUGGGGCAUCGCUACAGCGACCAAGGUUUGUUCCAGGUAAACAUGGAAAUAAAAUGCAAUUGGAUAGUGGUACACGUGUUUUCUUGUACCAGCUGGUUGGCACUUGGGGCCAGCUUUUGUUUCCGAGGCCCUGGAAAGAAUUUCGUUUUUGGUAUGAUGCACACAAGGCCAAGGGCAUCAAGCCAUUUCUUCAGGGGAUGGUGACAACAGGGUGGUACAAAAAAAUGGGAGAAAGAAUAUGGACUCCUUGGUUUAUUAAAUUUAUCCAUUCUCGUGGGUACUUCAAUCUGUAUACAAACUUUUCACAUGAGAGAGCACUCAGUAUCUCCCAUAGGGAUGCCGGCGUUAACUAUGGGAAAACAGCAGGGCCAGAUUCAUAUUUACUGGAUGAAAAAUCUCUUGAUUUCAAUCUUUUGGAAAUGCAGCCACUGAGCAAAUUGAAGUGGUUUGAUUUCUGUUUUGGACAAGUUCUUCCCAAUAUAGUUGUUAGGAGUUCCAAUGAACUUGGGGCUGUUGUUCACUCUCAGCAGAAACUGGAUUCUGUUAUACUUGUGACCCUACAAAAGGUAUCAGAGGCAGUGACAAGAAACUUGCUCUGCCACUUUGAGAGGCUAAAUAUUCAAAACUACAUAUUAAUGGGUCCUAAAUCUAAUUUUUUGCUUGAUCUUGCAAGACGAGGACAUCCUGUGAUUGAUGUGGGCCAAUUUUUUGACCAUAUGAAAAACCAGAAAUUGAUAGCUUUUCAAGAAAUCAGCAUGGAAUUGACCAAGGAGGUUUCAGUGGCAAGCUAUAUAGUUAAGAUGAUAUUAGAACUUGGGUAUAGUACAUGGGUGCUGGAUGGGAACAUGCUUCCAGUUAGUGGUGAUAUAUUUUUUAAUUCCACCAAUCCCAACUAUGAUUUCUAUGUUGGGAAGAGCUCUAAAGCUCUCCUUGUUAGGAACUCAUUGUCUGCUCGGAAAAAUUGGGUUGAUGAUUUUAUCUACAAGGUUGCAAUGAUGGCAGGGUCUUUGAAAAGUAAAGAUUUGCUUUCAGUGGAUGACAGAAACUUUGUUUAUGUAGUGGCGAAAGUAUUAGAACAGAAGGGUGUGAAAAUUAAGAGAAUUGAUAAUAUGGGUUUUGGUGUGAACAUCAACACGAGUAAUGCUGAUCAAACAUCUUUGGGGGAUGGAAAGAAAAUCAUUUUCUGGUCAUUCGAGAUGAGAUUAGACUUAAUUCAGAAACGGCUUGAAGAAUUAGGUAUGUGGAUUGUAGAUGGCGAUUCUUCGUGCAAUGCUGUUGUUUGUCACCAGUCAUAGCAGUUAACGGCAGUAGCAAGUUUUUGACCACUCGGACCAGUGAUUUACAUACUCAUUCUGUAUUAAUAUUUUUUUCGCAUUCUUUUGACCCCAAUAGCCCCACCUAGGUCCUAAUGAACAGAAGCUGAGAGUUAAGGUGGAUGGCAAUCAUGUCACCGCAUGAAGACUCGAACCCAGAUCUACUUAUCAAAUCUAAUGAGUGAGCUCUCACCGCUUGGCCUAUUGUUUUCCUCUGUAAAUUUCACCAAAUGGCUGCUGCAUCCCAGCUUCGAUCAAAGCUGAUUAUCAGUUUGUAUUUGUGGUGGAGGAAACCAUUUGUUUGUGUUAAUUGCUUCUUAUAAUUCCUUGCUUUCCA